rnacentral:rRNA from 1 species
UAGGGAAUCUUCCGCAAUGGACGCAAGUCUGACGGAGCAACGCCGCGUGAGUGAAGAAGGAUUUCGGUUCGUAAAACUCUGUUGUUAGAGAAGAACAGCGCAUAGAGUAACUGUUAUGCGUGUGACGGUAUCUAACCAGAAAGCCACGGCUAACUACGUGCCAGCAGCCGCGGUAAUACGUAGGUGGCAAGCGUUGUCCGGAUUUAUUGGGCGUAAAGCGAGCGCAGGCGGUCAAUUAAGUCUGAUGUGAAAGCCCCCGGCUCAACCGGGGAGGGUCAUUGGAAACUGGUUGACUUGAGUGUAGAAGAGGAGAGUGGAAUUCCAUGUGUAGCGGUGAAAUGCGUAGAUAUAUGGAGGAACACCAGUGGCGAAGGCGACUCUCUGGUGUGUAACUGACGCUGAGGUUCGAAAGCGUGGGUAGCAAACAGG